rnacentral:rRNA from 1 species
AUGGCCAUGGCAUCACCUUGGCAAGCUGGGAGACGCAUAAACAUCGAGGGGAUGGCGCGUCCGGUGGCUGUGGACCACCGCAUCAGCCUCCCCUACUACUUCCGCAUCGCCGACAAUCUUCUCCGCCAGGCGAACAUAUAUCGAGAGGAAAAGAACCUCAUCGACCUGUACAUUAUCCUCCUGAGAUACUCGAGCCUGUUGUCUGAGACGAUCCCGAAGCAUCGUGAUUACCAUGCAUUCAAGUCAAGAGAGAAGGAAUUCCUGAAGAAAGGGCCGCAUAACUCAGAUAAACUCUUGAAUGUUAUCAGUGAGCUCGAGUCUCUGAAGCCGAUUGUGAAACAGCAAAUUGCUGAGCUUAAUAGAAGGGCUGCAGAAGAACGUAAUGGUCCACAUGAAACCUAUGCUGGAAAUGGUGCAAGCAGUAGGACAGAUCAGCUUGCUGCAAGUCCGUAUAUGGUGCAGCCAGCAUUUGGAAGCUCAACAGGACCAUUGCAGAAACCAUCCUCUAGGUGGAACCAUCAAGAGGAACCUGAUAGGCAUCUAGUCAAAUCAUAUGCCAGUUUGCCAUAUCCAAAAGAUGAAACACUAUCCAGACAUUCAAUACUAGGACCGAAUGGGCUUCAUGGCCAAUGGACAAGGCCUGUUAGUGGUGUCAAGGUCCAGUAUCCAAGUUACCCCGAACUGAACCAAAGCAAUAUCCCUAGUUUAGUUCCAGCAAUCUUGAACCAAAAUGACUCACAUGAUCCUCAUACAACAUCACUGGAUGGAUUGACAAAUAACAAUGGUGAUAUGCAGUCUGUUCUCUCACUUGAUGAUGGUCAAUGGUCUUUACCAGUAAAAGAGCCAGCCUCUGUGUCUCCUGCUAGUUUCGAGGAAGAAUUCUCCCAGCUGAAUAUAAGACAGCCUAACCCCCCACCAGUCCUGGCACAAGUACAUCCUGAGCGUAGACCGAUUUCUCCAUCAAGAGUAGCUGAUCCAAGACCAGGACUUGCUACCUCUGACACAGGACGUUUUCAAAAUUUGCAUGUGCCGGUGGCAUUAAUGGAGUCUUUUCUGAGACUUGCUGAGGCAAAUACUGCAAAAAAUCUGGAAACAUGUGGGAUUCUUGCUGGUAACCUGAAAAAGAGAACUUUUUAUGUGACGACACUGAUAAUUCCUAAGCAGGAAUCAACGUCUGAUUCAUGUCAAGCUACGAAUGAAGAGGAAAUAUUUGAAGUUCAGGACAAAGGCUCACUUUUCACCCUCGGUUGGAUUCAUACACAUCCGACACAGACCUGCUUUCUGUCUUCCAUUGAUCUUCAUAAUCAUUAUUCGUAUCAGGUCAUGCUUCCUGAAGCAAUUGCAAUUGUCAUGGCACCUACCGAUACAACAAGGAAGCACGGCAUAUUUCACCUCACGGAUCCAGGUGGCAUGGGGGUGAUCCACGAUUGCCAGGAGACUGGUUUCCAUCCUCACGAGGAGCCUCUUGAUGGCACUUCAAUCUACGAGCAUUGCUCUCAUGUGUACAUGAACCCCAGUGUGAAGUUUGAUAUGGUCGACCUCCGUCGCGUGUGA